UGGGGAAUAUUGCACAAUGGGGGAAACCCUGAUGCAGCGACGCCGCGUGAGUGAAGAAGUAUUUCGGUAUGUAAAGCUCUAUCAGCAGGGAAGAUAAUGACGGUACCUGACUAAGAAGCCCCGGCUAACUACGUGCCAGCAGCCGCGGUAAUACGUAGGGGGCAAGCGUUAUCCGGAUUUACUGGGUGUAAAGGGAGCGUAGGUGGCAGGGCAAGUCAGAUGUGAAAACCCGGGGCUCAACUCCGGGAUUGCAUUUGAAACUGUCCGGCUGGAGUGCAGGAGAGGUAAGUGGAAUUCCUAGUG
rnacentral:rRNA from 1 species